rnacentral:rRNA from 1 species
UACGUAGGGUGCGAGCGUUGUCCGGAAUUACUGGGCGUAAAGAGCUCGUAGGUGGUUUGUCGCGUUGUUCGUGAAAACUCACAACUCAAUUGUGGGCGUGCGGGCGAUACGGGCAGACUGGAGUACUGCAGGGGGAGACUGGAAUUCCUGGUGUAGCGGUGGAAUGCGCAGAUAUCAGGAGGAACACCGGUGGCGAAGGCGGGGUCUCUGGGGCAGUAACUGACGCUGAGGAGCGAAAGCGUGGGGAGCGAACAGG